ensembl:lncRNA
AUGUGAUAUCUAUUUAUCUAAAGACCAGAUUUAAAAAAUGUCGAAAAAUAAUCUAGAGCCCUUCCUCAGACUUACUCUUCUACUCUCUAGUCUUUUUACAAGUACGUAAUGAAACGUCACACUUUUCUUUGGAUAGCAGUGUGAAGUUAAUGUAAAAUGUUUCAGUUGGUUGUAAAUGCAACACACAGGAAACCCCACCAUUAGUUUGGGAGAGCUGAAGACUUGUAGACAGCCGGUCUGUGGAAUGAUGGGGGGAGAAUGCUAGUCACUGAGGAGUAGUGACGCAGGUUCCCCUUUGAAAUGGGGUAUAUAAUAAGUUGCCUGUGUGUGUGAGUGUGUGUGUGUGUGUGUGUGUGGGACGGGGGGGGGGUUCCUAAUGUGAGGGCCAGGUGGGCAGUGCCCAGACUCCUCUGAGAAAAUGAGGCCUGCACGUGACGACUUUACAAGCCUCGGGCCGGACACACUUCAGAAACAGCUGUAAACCGCAUGAACAGUGUUUCCUCUGUAGCAUUUUCAAGCCAAGAACACGGGGGCUCCUUGCUCCCACAUGACUCACUCAUAGUUUAAUUACACUAUCUCUCAGGUUCACACUUUCACCGUUAGGGCACCCUCCUCACAUUGCCUUCCUGUAAUACUCACAUCCACACUGCCCAUCACACUAACAUCAAUGUCUCAGGCUGCUUCUGUCUAUCGCUCUCUCUCUCUCUCUCUCUCUCUGGAGAAUGAUGGUGGGUGGCAAAUUUGACAUGGUUUCCUUUGACCUUGACCUCCGGGGUGGCGGGGCCAGCUGCCACAUCUGGCCAUGACUUGAGGGUUCUCUCAGGGUGGCUGGGAAGCGGGACUGGCUGGCCUUGUGGGCCUGGGGGCCCUCACCCUGCCCCUAUGUCCCUGGGCUGCAGGGGGACUAGGGCAUUGGGAGGGGUGGGACACCCACUAACAGCAACAUGAAAGCGCUUCUGAAGAACGCAGACCUUGUCAGAGCCCCAUCCUUCCAUCUCUGGAACAAGUCAAAAUAACAGAGUUCCUCUCAUUUAUGUGAGUGCAGUAUGUGCAUGUUAGUCUUUGCUUCAAAAGGAGGAAGGUGUGCAAGCAGCACAUGCCUGAGGAAAGGGGAUCUGGCUGACCUUGGGAUGCACAACACACCAGUCAUUAGCAAGUAAUAGUUGUUAGUGUGGAUUAGAACCGGAAACAUUCAUAUCAGUCUUCAAAAUGUAGUGGAGAAACAUUUUGGGGAAUGCUUCUUCUUUAUCACUUCUUUUCACAUAAGAGCAGAGGAACCUGAAGGAAUUUAAAAAUUUGAGCAGUGCUUUCAGCAAUUUAUGCAACCAUAGUCACGAUUCCAAACCAGCUUCCAGGACACUUUGUUCUUGGCGUAUCACAAAAGUUAAAAUCAAUAGUCUAAUACCUCAGUCCUUGGGACCUUCGAAAGUGAUGACGUCUGACAAAAGAAUCCAUAGUCUUUGAGAACAAAAAACAUUUACUGCAAAAGUUAAAAACUUGAAAAUACGUCUGAAUGGGAGAUAAAGACAGAUAACUGGGUUUUUCAAAAUAAGUCUUUGGCAUUAUGUGAUGGAGCACAUUGAGCAACCCUUACUGAAUGUUAAAUGGUAGAAUAAUUAGUGAGCAAGUAAACUCCACAAAGCCGUAAAGUGUUUUUGUUUUUAUACCAACCUGAGAAGUCUGCUAAUAGCAAAGUUACUUAAUCACAGUAGUGAUUCUAAUAAAGGAGAUAGUGUAUUUUUUUUUACACAGACAAUGACGAUUAUUCUAACCGCAACCAAAGUUUAUUUUGUUACCCAAACCUAACCAACAGUGCUGUGAUUGUUUAACGGCGUUCGCCAACUGGCUUUGUGCGUUUCUGGAAGCGUCAUUCUGUUCAGCUGUGUAGGGGAGCCUUGCUCCUUCUUUCCACAUGAACCUUCCCUCCCCUUUACCCCCCUGGGCCCAUACUCCCCGCACACAAAAAUACCAUGACACAGAAACCCCCCUAUUGCAUGUGCGUGCCUGAUCCUGUGCCUCUUUCUCCCCUUUAACUGUCCUGGCAGAGCAAUGGCAACAGGAAAUAAAGUCAAUUUAGCCGUCUGGAGAGGUUAAAAGAAUAAAGAGCUUUUGCUGGCAUGUGCUUUUGGCAUUGUGUUUUAUGUGAAUGUUUAUAUUGAAAAUUAAAAGAAAUAGCAAUUCAUCUAUGUAUUAAUCUAUCUGUAACAGCUCCAAAAGAUGGUGUGUCAGAAAAUUGGUGGAUUAUUUAGAAAUGUAAAUUUGACAAAUGCUCAGACAGAAGAAAAUGGAAUUGCGCUGGUAUUUUCAAAGUGCUCGACCUACGUGAAUAACGGAGAGAUUAAGUGGUCAGCUGCUGCUUUCACAGACCAUCAGCUUAGACACAAACAUCAAUCAUGACACAUAGCAAGUCACGUACUCUGCAUAGUUUCGGCACACUGAGAGCUGUAAACAAGGGUGAGGGACAAUGGAGGUUCCAAGCAAUAACCCAAGACAACACCGUCGCCAACGUAGAGAGGAAACCCCUAAAAGGAAUAUUUGGAAAAUGUUGUUUUAGAAAGGCCGGGUCCAUAGAACUAUAUAAUCGGUGCCCUUUGCAUACUUUUCCAAGCAUCCAAGAAAGGAAUUCCUUCCAAACUAUAGGGGGACCUACAUAACCGGUCUUUUGCAGGCAACCCCAGAAAGGCCCUCUCGAUAGCUCUGCCUCCUCUCUUCCCGGCCUCUCCGAAUUCUGCCAACAGCUUGCAACUAUUAAGGCGAGAUCCUGUGGUGACCUUACGUGGAGCCAGUCCUUGCACCUUCAAAGCUCCUGGGUUGGAAUAAUACACAGCAAAUCAUCCAGAACCCCUUAAUACACAAAUCUCCAUCAAAAUAAAAGACGAGGGGCAGCAUUUGCUCGGAAGGGGAGGAACAGUAAAUGAACAACAUUGUUCUUUGUUACAUUGCUGCUGCUGUUUCUCAGUCAGUGUUAUCAGGAGCUCUUAAGUUGAUAUGAAAAAAAAAAUCUGAAGUGCAGGGGAUGCAGGAGGGACCUGGAAUACUUUGUAAUUGAUAACCUACAAUAGUUUUAAGGCUGUUUUAGAAUGAGCAGAAAUUGCCCAAUAGUUUUGUUUGGAAGACUUAUUACAUUCCAGAAGUUACGAUUUCCAUGGAAUGUGCGAACCUUUCAGAUUUGAGAGCCGUCAUGUCGUUGUUUUAGGGAAAUAUAAUACUAACUUUUGCAACUAAAGAAGCAUCUUCUGCAAGGAGUGUUUUCAUGAAUGGCUUUUAACUUCAGUCAAUAGAAAGAAAAUGCAGAAAUGAUGACGGUAUGAACAGUUGGUUUCAGCUCAAAAGAGCAAACAAGCUCAGCAUUUUGGAACCUCUUAAAAUGUUGGACUCUUCAGAUGGAUUAAAGACUCAAAAAUAUUUAUGAGUCAUCGUGAAAAGGGAAAGUCUUUUUGUAAAAUGAUCCGAAGAUCAGAGGGAAAGAAGAUGUAAAACUCUGUCACAACAUGCUGGGGACUAUAACACAAGCAGGAAUCCCACUGAUUUACCAGACCUCGUAUGCAGAACAACCAGCGGCCGGUGUGUCUGCCUGUAUGAGUGUUUGUGUGUUUGCGUGUGCAGAUGUGUGAACAAAAGGGUAACUAAGGCAAGACUCGGAUGGCCGGUUUAUCCGCUUAAGUGCCGUCUCUGUCACGGUUCAAGGCCGGGUUACGACUCCAGAGCAGAGACUGACAUUGGAGACGAGAUGGAGUUAAAGAAAGAAAAAGAAAAAAAAAAGACUUCUUUACUGGUCACUGAAGGUAAUAAAAAGAACUCAAAGCGACUCCAACCGGGAGCGAGCAAGAAUCAACAAAAGGCAAAGUCAUUAAAGAAACACAUGGUAUUAGCACAGGAGACACACCGCGCACAAGGGGGGAGAAAAAUGACAACUCGAGCAGUGAGCACAGGGAAAAAUAUACAUAUGAAUGGGGUGAUGAGGCAAUUGGAGGCAGCUGGGUGGACGGGGCAGGUGAAUAGGAUGAGUGCAAUCAGGGGAAACACACACACACGUGGACGUUACAGUUUUAGCUAGAAAAGACACAUCUUUUCUGGAAAACUUUGAAAAGGGCUACAUAUUUAUUUUUAUUUGUUAAAAAACUAAACACAAUUCAAUUAGAUUUUUUAGAAACUUUUACUUAAGACGCAAAAAGGACACAUUUUUUAUUAAAAGGGUUUCAAUUCAAUGUUGCGCACCCACGAGGAGUCAAUUUGACUUAAAACGGCAACUCGUCACCAAAAAAAGUAGUUGAGUAGUUAAGCAGGCCUACAGCGUUCAGCACCUCAGAGGAGUCGUAAAUGUGUUGCGAAUUCUUUUAGUCAUAUAUUGUGAUAUAUUGUUUUGCUUUGAUAGGUUUUCAUGCAACUUGGUCCUUGUUCUCCUGCCACGCAUUUGUUCACUUUUGGCGAAAUUAAAAUCAGGUGCAAAACAACCAGUUUCUUUCAUAACGGAGACAAUGAAAUGGGGAUGACGUUGAGGAUGCGUUCUUACCAACAGCAAUAAACAUCUGAAUCCAAAUGCUUUUGCAAACAAAAUGAUAAUAAGUUUGGAGGGAAUUCAAAUGUGGACAAAAUAUAUCAAAGUAAUAAAAACAAAUGAAAGUGAAGGUUACGAUUUUCUGUUUAAUGAUUUAAAACUAGCAUUCAAGUUGAGUUUAUCUUCCCCCUAUUUGUUUAGCUGAGGCCUGAAGCAACAUGUGUUUGACAGCAAGCGGCAUCGAUUAGACAAUGUUCUUACUAACUAACAAGUAACAGAUCAAACAUCUGUCUUUCCUCUGCUCCUAUAUCAAGUUCACCUAUCAGCUUAAUUCCUCACCGUUUCCUUCUUCUCUCUCACCCACAGUUGCGUCCCUCACCCUUUGGUCCCGGCAGCAGAUAAUUCCAAUUAUGAUUAGUUAUUUCAAAGCAAUUCUUCAUAUCUUUUUAAAUAGCCUAAUAGCACAAAACAUGAUGCAGGCUGCUUUCUUUAAAAAACGCUAGACUAAAAUGCUUUUAGGUCAAAUUUGGACAAACAGGGUGGAGUUUUUGAGCCAAGCGACGGUAUGAUACGGGAUAACACUUACUGUAUCAUGCUGCUGCAGCCCACUGAAUAUUUUAGUAGAUGGAAAAGAACCCUAUCUGUGUUUGCUGGCAUGACAGAAGAAAGUACAACGUGAGUAACUUGAUCCCCCAUUAGCCUGUAGUUAUUAUUUCAGCAAACUGCUAACACCUGUUUUUGCAGACACUACCAUUGACCAUCGGCAUGUAGCAUCCUUGGCCUCGAAAAUCACCAGAAGUGAACCUGGGCCAAAUUCCUCAACAAGGAUUAAAGACCAACUGAAAUCACAUGUACACAUAGUCAUCAAUUAAUGUGGUAAAGAAAUAACGGAACACAUGUUUUUUUAAUCAUCUGUUUUAUAAAUAAAAGGAAGGGAAAACACCAAGGUCGAGUAACUGUUUGAUUAAAACGGAGCCUGCUAACUGAUCUUUGCAAUACAUCUUUCCCUGGUGAAUGUUUCUUUGGUUGCUCAUCAAAAGAAGGACAAUAAUAAGGACAACGUAUCAAUUUAAAUUAGUGUUUAGUUUUGAACUAGUGUCUAAAAGAUUUCAACAUAUUCCAUUAAUAGCAGACAUUGACAUUUGUGAUUAAAUAAAAUGUCUGAAAAACGGUCAAAUGAAACAAAAUUGAAUCUGGAGCAAGUGUGAGUUCUUUAUGAGCAACCUUUCAGAUUGGAGCACAUCUUUAAGAAAGACCUUCACGAUCAAUACCCUGAAUUGAUUUCUUACCAUUCCUCUCAGCAUAAGACGUUUGGUUAAACUGACCGUCCUCUCCUCUGAUGUAAAACUUGACAAAUCCCAACAAGACCAACGGCCUGCUCCUUUCUGACCCGGCUUAACGGGUUGUUGCUGCAGUAAUUUGAUAGGAAGUACCCUCCCAGCGGGGUCCGUCGGUAAACGUGAGUUACGCAAGUUCUGGCUGAGCCCCUGUACUGGAUUGGGGCCAAAAGAUGUAGAGAUGAUAUAGCGUCAAUCAACAGCGGCAAAACAUCUUCAGGAGGCAGGUCGCUUCCCAGUGGGCUGCUCACCAACUUCCCUGCUGCUAUCGAACUUGAAAAAGUCGCCUGAAGCCUUCUGAACCUCCGGACGUCAUUUCUGUGGCUAGCUGAGUAGCAAGGCGCUAUAGUUUAUAGGUGCAAUUUCAAUGAUUGGACGUUUUGUGACGGCCUGGAGAACAUUCAUCUUCAAUGUGGAAGAUUAAUGAUUAUAAUUAGCAAGAAUGACACGGUGUUAUUUUUGUCCAAGUGUGAGGAAUUCAAGCAGAAAUACGCCUAGUGGUAGAAAUUAUAAUUAUAUAUUAUAUUUCUGUAUUAUGAAUUAAACAUGUUGUAUGACUUGUAAGUCAAUACUGUACAUGUGACAUCCAUAGUGUAAUGUUCAGCCGACGGAUUUCUUCCUUAUUUUAUCCGCACAGAAGGGUUUUUAGGGAGUUUUUUUUCUGUUUCAGGUCCAAGUUUGGGGACAAGGAUGUCGUAGCUGUACAGAGAGAAUUUUUUACUAUAUAAGAUGAGUUAAAGCCCAUAUAUUCAAAUCUAUAUCCUGAUGCCAUUUUUGGCCUCUGCACCAAAAAUAGCAUACCCAUGAUACAAUGUGUAAUAACUCUGCAACUACUUCGUCUAUUUGGACAAUUUAUUUUCUGUGGGAUAAAGGGGAACUAUUGUGAAUGCUAUGCUGUGAAAUAUCAGUAUAUAUGUUAGUGGUUGAUAAAUAUAUGAAUAUAGAUCACAGAUUUGUUUUUUACUUUGCAAAAUCUGCUUGAAAAAAAGAGAGUAUCCAUUACUAUAAAACAUGGAGAAACCAGGCUAAAAACUAAUUUACGCAAAAGCCCAGGUUGUGGACAGUAUCUGUGAAAAGUUUUACUUUGAUGGAAGGAAGCAGAACAAAUCUAGAGACGCUUUCUGCGUCUGAGAAUUCAGGCGAAGUUUCCAAAUAGAAAUGUCUAUAUAUUUAUACUAUUUAUACCAUAUAUUUCAGUUCUAUAUUACUUAUAGUGUUCAAUACAUCAAAAUAAAACAUUUUGGGGCUUUUGGGGGAAAAUUGGGUUAGUUUAGGCUAACCCUAACCCAAUUGAAAAACAACCAUAAAUCCACCGAAUGUUGAAUUAACAGAUGGUGUUUGUUUGCACUUUAUUGAGGGAAGGUUUGACGAGGAUAUAUGAUACAGAUAUCUCUGUAAUCUGUGUGUUGUUCUCUCGCUUUUGGCUAUCUCGGUUUUGUUGCUUCGAUCGAUGGUGGGUGAAAUAUACAGUUUGGUAGUGAUUUUUUGUUAGACAAAUAAUGUUUAAUGUCCUUGUAGCUCAGGCUCUGAUGUUUCCAGAGAUAUGUGGCAUUCUCAUAUUGUGUUUUUUUCUAUCUACUAUUGGGGUUGCUUCCUGGUCCACCAAGGCCUCUUUAAGGACUAAAGGGCCAGCCUGUGGGCACGAUCAGGCAUUUAAACUUUUUUACUCUUGUAAAUACAUUGCAUUAAAUGUCUUUUGAAAAACAUCAGAAAUGUUCCUACUGUGUCCCCUUUUGCUCUGCCGGCUGAAGGGGCAUGUCGAUGUCUUUGUUUGGUUGACAGCAGGUGGCUGAGUGUUGACGCAUUGAGGAGCAAGGAGCACAGCAGCAUCUCACCGAACCAAAAUAAUAUUUACAGAGAUGCGGUUUACAGUAGCACUAAAAAAACAUUGCAGAAAGUAGAACUCUUUGGAUUGACCAUAAUGGUUAUUGUACCGGCCAAAGACGAUGAAGAAAGACAUUUUGUAUACCAAAUUGUUCCACCAGUGAGGAAGACCUGAUUUGACCAAAAAAAAUUCCAUAAUAAAUUUGCUGAGAAAAUGUUCUAAUGCAAAGGUCGUUAUGAACACCAAUGGUUUCAUUGCAGAGUCUGUGCGAGGAGAACUGGUUCAAAUCUGCAAUGGAUUCCUUCCUUAAUUGACGCGGUCUCAACCAGGUAAUAGUCCAAGUAAUUCCACUAAAUCAUCAAAUUUGUAACUGUUGUAACUGUAUCCCUGCAUAAAUAUGCUACAGAUGUAGUAAACAGUUUGUUAAACAUUAAUUUAUUGAAGCCUAUUGGACAUGGACUUGAUAUAACGCGCAUGUGUGAGUCUCUUUAAAAAAAUAUAUCGAGGAGGGAAAGAUAAUAUAGAUAAACAGCCGAAAAAUUGUAAAGGUGGACCGUAGGAACUUUGAUUGGUAGAUGGCGAUUCGGCUCUUGUGUGGAAAAUAAAAAGGCUCUCUCGUCCAGCACAGCCAGUGAGACACAAACACUGCAUUAUAGGUCCAACCAGACAUCCCGAUGGAUACGCCAGGUGGACAACUUAAGUAACCUGCCAGAUUCACUGAAACAGCCCACACCAGAUAAGCAAAUGCUGCUACACAGAAUCUACAGUAGACUUGUGACUUGUCUCCCCUAGUGUACUUCCACAAGGACGAACAGACGUUUUGUCAUGCUGAUUUUAAAAGUGAAAUACUAGACAGCUGAUUAAGUGCGAUCAGAUGUGUCUUUCUAUCAAUCAUCUCAUACACAUAUUUUAUAAGUUCUUAUAAUCAUAAUCUUCUUUGUCUGUAAUAACUCAAUUAUAUUGGGAUUACAACGCACAUUGAGAAAUGAGUAACUUCACAUGAACGCAGGCACACCAAGAGAAAAAUAAAUGUUUUCCACAUUAGGAAACUAAAUAUUACAGAGGGACAAAGACUAUUGAUGAAGUAUGAAAACUCCUACUCUCUUGGAUGUGAUAUCAGUAAUCUGUCCACCAGUAAUCUAAAAGUGAACAGAAAGAAAGAAAGAUCUGUUUGCAGACCAGUCUUCAACAGCAUUGCAUAUUGAGUUGUGUACCUUGUCUUGGUAAUGCAUGGCAGUGAGGACAUGACCGAGUCAAAGUCUCAGGGGAAAAAAGAUCACAUGUGGGAAGUGGGAUUUAUUCCUAAACUUUGUGUGACUCCAGAGUUUUUGUUUGAAGUUUGACAUUAAUCCCACAAGCUUGACUGACAAGCACGACACUGACCUUGGUGGUCUUGACAGUGGAUUGGCAGCAGUCUCCUCCGUCGUAGUUACAGAAGGCUCUGUUGUUGACCGAAUCGCAGUAGUUGUCUCCCAUGAACGGCUGAACCAGAUGGAUCAAGGAGAGAAUUCUGUUAGUCCAAAAAACUUAACAAGUGAGUGCCACCUUUUAAAAUGGUAAUGAGAUGAAUUAACAAGGGCGCCUUAGAUUCUAGUGGUAGUUUCCUCUUGAGUAUUUCAGGAUAAAUUAGAGGUCCGUGGAUAAAUUUGCUGAUGAAUCUCGCGCAUUCAAUUGACCUCAUCUUUCAUUGUGACUUUUUAAGCCCUUAGUGGGCCGGACCCGUUAAUCAAACUGAGGACACCAUAAACUAUUCACCUCACAAAACACUCUAAUAAGGUGAUUUACUGGGUUGGCACCACCCUUGCCACUAGGGUUACCAAUCAGGUUAUCCAAUUCACAUAAACUGAGAAGAUGAUAUCACUUCGUUUUUUUUUUUUGAUGACGUGAAGUGGAAUUUGUUCACAUGUUGUCUUCUCAUGGAAAUGCAGCAUUUUUAGAGGAAAUAACAUCUCAUUUAGGUCAAUUUCUUACUUCACAUCCUUUGAUGCAGUGUAGCAGUUCGGGGUGUGGAUACCAUUUCAGUCCCAUCGUGCAGACUAUACUCUGAAAGAAAAGACAGGAGAUGGAGCGCAAUUAAUAACGUUAUACUGGUGCUUUCAGUGGUUUGGGUUAUUCCCAUUUUUUAAGCCACAAGCAUCUUCUUAGCUGCACACACUCAAAUAACCCCCAUCCACCCCCACUCACGCCCACACACAAAUACAAUAAACAGAGAGAGGGGGGUAAAAAGCACAAUAUUAUCCAAUAUCUUUGCAGAAUGUGUGGAAUUCCUGUUCUCCCACUGUGAUCUUCAUUCAAAUGCAGAAAAGCUGUGUGUCCAUUCGAGCAGCUCUCUGCACCGAAUGUGAACCUGCAUGUGCAAAAUGUACUCAUGUCGGUCUUAACUGUAAGCACAUGAAAAUGCAUAUAUUACUUCAUGCAUGCAUAUAGUGUGUGUGUGUGCCUUUUGUGUCGGGCGUAUGGGCCGUCUUGUAGAUACUGUAUGAGUCCAGUGAAGCAGUCGCAGGUGGAGAAGGAUUUUGCUUUCGGCACGAGCGUGACCCCAGACUGGGACAGCUGUGUUCAUGACCAAAAGUGUGAUUCACAGGCAAAGGACUGUCUGACCUUAGAUGGUCCAUUUCUCAGACCCACAGUGCCCUAAUACCUCCUAACGUUGACGUGCUAUGUUGUUGUUGCUGCAAACUAAGGUAUUUUUCAUUUCAGUGCUGUCAGCAAAUCAAUGCAAAAAACAAAGAUGGGGGGGUUUGAAGGUGGAAAGAAAGAACGACAGAGCAUCCAAUGCCUACUGCGAUGUAGUGCUGCAUAGCAGGAUGCAGGAACGCUGGAAGAUUAAGCACAUCGGUUUGUCUUAUGGAAGAAACUUUUUGCAACUAGUGUACUUUCAUGCUCCUUUUUUUCAUGCUCUGCAACGAUGAUGUCAUCCAGAAACUCCAUCUCUUCCCCUCUCUCUCUUUUUCUCUCUCUCUCUCUCACUCUUUUUUCCUCUCUCUGCAAGGCCGUAAAUCAUGAUAAUCCAUGAUCGUGGCCUGGCCUCACCCCUCACUACGUGUAGGAUCCUCACCCUCUGAAACCUCCCCGGGGCGCUGAUACCACACAAAAAUAGAUCCCUAUCUCAGCGCCACCACAGACGAGGUCAUGCCAGGUAGAAAAUGACUAAUUCCACAGCAAGCUCCACAGGGUCAUUUUGCUGAUAAAGGGGGAGGAGGGUGCUGGGGGCGCAGAAUUGUUAGAGGGACAGAAAAAAAAGAGAGAGGAAGAGGUGGAGAUGGGAAAGCAGGGGAGAAUUCUUGUUUUUUGGGUCACACUCAGAACUAAAAUACAACCAGUUUAAAGGCAAUAAAUCAAGUCAUGAAUGAUGACAAUUCUAUUUCCUGUUGCAUCUACUUCUCUGCUUCGAGAAUUACAGUGGACCAUAAAGGAUUGAUAGUACUCAAACACAACUUUAAUUGCAAAUGUUACUGUGUAUGUGUGAAUGUGUACGUUUACUGUAAAAUGAGCCCGUUUGGAAUCAAACAGUUGACAGGCAGCAUGACAGCACAAAAUAUGGGACACGCCUUAGUACCACCAACAACAACUUUUCCCUCUUCCAUGUCCUAACCCUGGAAACCCUUCAGCCCUCCACCCUCACUUCUCUCCGACUUCUCUUAUGCCAUCCUCUGCCUCAGGUCUCCAAUUACCACGGAACAAAAAAAUCAUAUCAUUUACAAAAAUCCAUGAAAAACAGAUCAUUUCAUGUCCACGUGGCCCGAGCCACCGCUCUCUGCUAACAUCCACCACAAAAAGCUGCUGACUCAGUGUGACUCUGAAACAAAACAAAUGGAGUUGUAGGAAAAAAUACACUGCAAAAUACAAUGUGUUCCUUUAGUCGGCCGCGGCUUUUCUUCUAUCCGUCUAAGGUUACCAAAUGUGAGCCUAUUUAGUCUAUAACUCUACAGCUAAAGGGACAUUAAGCUUAAAAGUGAAACGCGUGAUUACAAAAGUUGGUGUAUUGAAUUACUCCACUUACACACAGACACACACUGUAUUCCCCAAAACCCCCAAGCUGCAUAAAAACACAAAUUACACCGAUAACAUCUUACAACAUCUCAGCCCUGUAACCUGUCAGUGUAAGCAAACAGUACAUGAUCAGUAUAGUCUCAUGAAAUAAGGUCACAAACCAGUGAGCGACAUUGAUGGAUUUCAGAAAAUUACACUAUAUAUAUAUAGCAUUUAUGAUGUAUUUGAAAUGGUAACUACACUAUAUGUCUGGAUAGGACAAAUACAUGGGAAAUGAAAUGCAAAAAAUAUAGACAAAAAUUAAUUCCCAAAGAAGCUUUAAAACUUUUUGUGUCUCCAAGAAAGUAUUGAGGACAUCAACACAGAAGGGCGGCAGCAUGUUUUCACACUGCCAGUUAAAAAUAGAAUAGAAAUGUUUGAAGGGUUGCGAUGUGCGGGAAGUAGACCCAGGAUGUUCACGUCAUAUGUGAAAUUCCUUACAGGAGAGUUGUGCGUCGCAGAACUUUGUGAAGUGCGUCUGCCAGAGCUGUGAUGUAGACACAAACACACGUACAGACUUACUUUGACUCUGUGCGGGUUCCUCCAAUGUUCAAUAAGAACAUUUUCCAAUGUCAUGUUGCUCGGGAGGAUCACCACGUCGUUGUUACCCUCUCUGCACGUUAGUUCGCACUCCUCGCCUGUGUGUGUGUGUGUGUGUGUGUGUGUGUGUGUGUGUGUGUGAGUGUGUGUGAGCGAGAGAAAAUCAGAGAAACGCAACCGAUUAAAGUAUCCAAAAACGAUUUCCAAAGAUGUAUUCCUCCCCUCCUUACUUUCAAAUGAUUAUGAUACUGAGCUAUACUAAACAUGCUUGGUUACUUUUCGGUGGUUUAGCCAAUAGAUGAUUGUUAUCCAGAUGUUUACAAAAUGGUCAUUUUAACAAUGAAGAAUGACAACAGACCUAACAAGAAGUGUGAGUAAAAUGAACAAUGAAAAAUGACAAAUAAUACAAAUGAAAUAGGUUGUUUCAGAAAGAUAAAUGUGUGCAUACCUAUGCCGUGUCCUUGCUUGCAUGAGUACUGGAGGCUAUGAUGGAGGUUUUGAGGUAAAGAACACUGGCCUUUGCUGUGUGGGCACAAGCGGAACGACCCUGUCCAGGUUCCGUCCUUCUUACAACGGAUGGCAUUGGACCCUGCGCCCUGUGAUUAACAAAUGUAUUGACAAGAAAACCAUUAUAAAUACAUACUAACAGGCAAAACCGUUGCAGGUCAAGAACAUUAAGAUGGUAUUACGCGGCAAAGGAGGAAAUCCAUCCAAAUUUUAUCAGACAUCCAACCAGAAACACCUUACAGGCAUACUAGAUUAAAAGGUGUAUACAUUUCAAAAAGUCUGUGGCAGCAGGACAAUUCUGAAAAUCAAUUACAAUCUGAUUAGUAGGGCUUCAAAUUGAGUAGGGCUGAGGGAGACAGGGAGAGAAUGUGGAAGGGAAAGGCAAGUGCCCUGACAGAGAGGGGAAUCUUAAAAGAUAACCAUAAAAACAUGAAAAAAGAGUUCAUUAGGGAAUAGGUUAAAUUUGGGUUGCAAUGUUGCAUCUUAUCUGCCAAGACGAUAUAUGUUACAAUUAUGUGCUUUAAACAAACAAUAUUGAAACCAAACAGGGCUUGCUUUGCAAAGCGCUAAACGGUCAUCAAAUAUAAAAAAUGAAUUAUUUGACUCGAUUAUUCGCGCGUUUUGUCACGGUAGCAAAAGCGAUUCACAGUGAGGCUGCAAACGCGGUAGGAAAAGAAAGAAUGUUUUACACACAUAACAAAAAGAAGACCCACAUAAAGGUAAAGCAAGAAUAGAAAGAGAGGAAAGAGAUGGACGGACCUGCUUGCAUGGAGCGUGCAGCAGCCUCACCGUUUGGCGUCCUUUGGCGGCAGUGGCAGAAUUACCGGCGGCAUCAGAGCAGUUGAGUUUGCAGACGCUGUCGUAGCGGAAGCCAUCAGUGCAGCGAUAGGAGCCGUGGAAGAUGGGAGGUGGGGAGUCACAAGUCACCGGCUCGCAUGCCCCCUCUAGCCAGCUGCCGUCCUCCGUGCACUGGCGCUUAAAAGCACGCCUAAAAGGAAGGAAGAGGGUUAAUAUCUAGACUUGUGGACAUGGGGAAACUUUUGUUUUGGUGAUAUGGAGGUCCAUAUAAAGAGAAAGUAUUGACUGAGGAAAACUAAAUGAAUUAAUAAACAACAACCAAAUGUCUUUCUUUACCUCUUAGGUUUGUUGCUGACAUGGUAACCUGGCCUGCAAUUGUACUUGCAGAGCGUGCCCACUUUAAGGCCAGUGUCAUUGCAGCGCUUGGUCUGCAGAACAGCAUUGGGUACGACAGGGGGGGCUGGGCAGCGAAGUUCACAAAGAGCCUCCGGGAAGGACCAGAGACCGUCUUCUAAACAGGUAAGGGAGUUGUUCGUACCUGGGGAAGGGAGGUGGACAGGAUAAAAAAAUAGUUUGGACACACGUUGCCAGUGAAUCGAAUGAGAAAAUGUUUCCAAUAUUUUGAGUGGUACGGGAUAUAUAUUUAUAACAAUUAAGAGACUAAAAUAAAUAUGUAUGAGAUAAUUUAUUCAAAAGAGUAUUUUAGGAUGUUUUGUAAAAGUUGAGGAAUUAUACAUGGGCAUCAAAAAACUAUAAUUCAUUUCGGAUCCUUAUGUGUUACAUUGUUAGUAAAAUUAAAGAAAAAAUUAUUUAAUUAAUUUGCACUUCUGAUAGUAAAUCUGAUCAAUCAGUAAAAUAUAUCAAUAUAUAUAUUGAUAUAUUUACAUAUAU